UUAUAAUUUUUUAAUAAGAAUAAUUAUCCAUAAAUCUUUUAAAAUUUUAAAAAUAUCUAAUUUUAUUUUUGAUAUAUUUCUCAUAUAUUUCUUUUUUUCUGUAUUAAAACUUGAGUUAAAUAUCUCUUUUGUUUUUAACUUAAGAGCAAGUAAGAAAAAUUUGGUAAUAAUUGAUAGAAGAGUAUAUUUAAAGAGAUCAAAAAUUAAAAUAUUUUUUAUUCCUAAUUUAAGGACAAAUAAAAAAAAAUUGAUAAUGAUGGGAGGCUAUAUUUGAAAAGGUAAAAGGUGAUAUGUUUCUAUUUAUCAUAACUCAUGUCACAUUUGCGUCUAAAAGUGGAUGUAUGACUAGCAUUUAUCGUUUUAAAAUGGCCAAAUUGCAUGAUUGGCCCUCAUACACUAUUUUAUUAUAAUUUAUGAAUUUAUAAAUAUUUUGUUGGCUUAAAAGAGGCCAACAUUCUGUCCUGUGACGAAAGAUCAUGUUGGAUCGAGUCACAUUUGAAAUGACAGGAGAUCGGGUUGGAUCGAGCCAUGUUCGAAGUGACGUGAGGCUGGCUAGACUGAGUCACAAUCGAGGCCAGCCGUUGUAUUCUAAAAACUUAAGCUGAUAGAUAAUGGUGGGCUCGAGACUUUUUGUAGGCUCCAUGAUAUGAACUUGAAUUAAAUGGGAAGAAACUAAUAAUGCUAGGAGCCAGAUGUGAUUUGAAUUUAAAACUUCCUAUUUUGAUACCAUAUUAAAAAAUACGAAACAAUCGUUGCACUCUAAAAGCUCAAGCUGAUAUAAAAUGAUAUUUAAAUAUUUUUAUAUUUAACACUAUAUAUCUUUUGCUAGUUAUUUUCAAAUAAAAUUAUUUUUCAAAGAAAAUAUAUUAUCUCCUAGUUAAUAU
rnacentral:lncRNA from 1 species